rnacentral:lncRNA from 1 species
AGUGUGUCACCACCCUCUGUGUGAAAAACUUCCUCCUAAUAUCUAACUUAAACCUCCCCUGUCUCAGUUUAAAACCAUUUCCCCUUUUUCUAUCACUAUCCACCCUUAUAAACAGCCAUUCCCCCUCCUGUUUAUAUGCCUCCGUCAAGUACUGGAAGGCCACAGUGAGGUCUCCCCAGAGCCAUUCUGAAACUUAUGCUGAAUUUUGUUUUGCACAUUGAAAGGAAAAUCAUUUUGGAUGUCAAUGCACAACAAAGAUGUUAUAAAACAUAACUGAGUAUACCCUUAUAAAUUUUUACUUUGGAAAAUCAUUUACACAGCAAAGCAUUUUGAUCAAACUGCCUAUAUUUGAAAUAAGCUAUUUUCAGCAGAAAUAUUAUCUUCUCAUUUAUUUACAAAGACAUAUUUUAGAAAUGCUGGAUAUUUUCUGCUUUCAUGAUCUGACCUAGACUAUGUAGCCUGACCUUACUGAACCUGCAGACUUAUGAAGACUGUAUGAGUAAAGGACCGAAAAUCAAAUGGGUAUUUAGUAUAAAAAAUAUUGCAGGUUGAAGAAAUGAUAUCUCUCUCUUCUCUUUGUGAACUUUUCCAUGCUUCACAGGAAGAAGAGGAGAUGGUGAAGAGCUUUCCUCUGCUCUUCACACUUUCCCAUUAUUCUAGCUUUGGCUUUGGGCUUUGCCUUCCCACCGUCCAUUUAUAGGACAAAAACAAAACAAAACAAAACAAAAAGUUUCAGGUAGUUUAAAAGUCAAUAUCAAGUCAAUAGCAGCUGCCUGUUAUUGGUAUGUUGACUCUGGCCAGCAAGAAAGCACCUGUUUGCUCAGUCUCUGCCCUGCAUGAAGAGCAAAAGUGAGAAAAGUUAUAGGUAGAAAUACACUUUAACAACUGAAGAAUAGAGAAAACAAAAGCAAGUGAUGAAGCAAUCACUCAUCGCUUCACCCAGAUGCAGAUCAAUGCCCAACCAGUCUUACAGCAAUUACUACUUUUGGAAGAACAAACUAACCUUUUUAUCACUGAGUAUGAUGUUAUAUGCUUUGGAAUAUCUCUCCCAUUGCAGGUGUCAGCUGUCUCUUGCUCACCUCCACACCUGCUGGAGUGGCAGAAUGAGUGCCUGAGAAAGCCUUGAUUCUCUGCAAGUACCAUUCAGCAAAAACUAAAACACUGGUGUGUUAUCAACACUGUUUUAGCCACAAAUCCAAAAUAUGACACCAUAUGGACUCCUAUGAAGAAAGUUAACUCCAUUCCAGCCAGAUCCAGUACACCCUUCAUUUUGUUCACAGCAUUUUCUAAUAUGCUAUUAAAAUAUUCUGUCUGUGUCAAAUCAUAAAUAGAACUCAGUUUCCAGAAUGUCUGUAGAUUUUACUCCCAUUGUUUCUGAGUACAGAAAUAUCUCUAGAGAGCUUUAUUUUUUAG